CCAGCUGGAGCAGCACUCUUUACCGCGCUGUUGUUGUUACUGUUAUUGUUACUGAUGCGCUGCGCCUGCUCCCCAGAAGCAGCAACAUUGGGGGUAGCAGGUCCUGAUGCGCGACCACUGCUUGCAUUAGGUGCAUCUGGAGGAGGUUGUUGCGCAAUAGAACGGUUGUUAUUCUUCUUAACUUCCUGCAGCAGCUGAUUAAGCACGUGCUGCUGGUAUUGUGGACUAGCACCAAAGCCCUGGAGAUUGUUUUGCUGCAGCAUAGGCUGCUGAAAUGAUGCAGGGUGUUGGAA
rnacentral:lncRNA from 1 species